rnacentral:lncRNA from 1 species
CAUCAGAAGCUUGGGUUGGAGUUGUGGCUCAAAGGUAGAUGCAAUUGAGUUGGAGAAGUCACUGCAGGCACUGGUUCAGAAGCGCCACUAUCUUUUUGAUGUCCAGAGGAAUAACAUUGCUAUGGCCUUGGAGGUUACUUACCGGGAAUGGCUACAUAAAGUAUACAAGGAGGUAAAGAAUCACCUGGAUUAUUAUAUCUCUGUGCAGAAUAUGAUGCAUCCAAAGGAACAGGAGCACGUCAUAAACUGGGUAGAGAAGCACGUGGUACAGAGCAUCUCUGCACAGCAGGAAAAGGAGAUGAUUGUCAAGUGCAUUUCAGAUCUCCAGCUGCUCGUAAAGAAGUCUCAAGCACAGCCAGUUAUGUAAAUGUAUCUGUCUCAGUUGAGACAGCUACGCACAAUUGACUGAAUAAAUGAAAACUAGUCUACACAAAAAAAAAAUAAAAUAAAAUA